rnacentral:rRNA from 1 species
AUUGAACGCUGGCGGAAUGCUUUACACAUGCAAGUCGAACGGCAGCACGGACUUCGGUCUGGUGGCGAGUGGCGAACGGGUGAGUAAUGUAUCGGAACGUGCCCAGUCGUGGGGGAUAACGUAGUGAAAAUUACGCUAAUACCGCAUACGAUCUAUGGAUGAAAGCGGGGGAUCGCAAGACCUCGCGCGAUUGGAGAGGCCGGUAUCAGAUUAGGUAGUUGGUGGGGUAAAGGCCCACCAAGCCAACGAUCUGUAGCUGGUCUGAGAGGACGGCCAGCCACACUGGAACUGAGACACGGUCCAGACUCCUACGGGAGGCAGCAGUGGGGAAUUUUGGACAAUGGGCGAAAGCCUGAUCCAGCCAUUCCGCGUGCAGGAUGAAGGCCCUCGGGUUGUAAACUGCUUUUGUACAGAACGAAAAGGUUUCUACUAAUACUAGGAGCUCAUGACGGUACUGUAAGAAUAAGCACCGGCUAACUACGUGCCAGCAGCCGCCGCGG